rnacentral:rRNA from 1 species
GACGAACGCUGGCGGCGUGCUUAACACAUGCAAGUCGAACGGAAAGGCCCUGCUUGCAGGGUACUCGAGUGGCGAACGGGUGAGUAACACGUGGGUUAUCUGCCCUGCACUUCGGGAUAAGCCUGGGAAACUGGGUCUAAUACCGGAUAGGAGCCAUUUUUAGUGUGAUGGUUGGAAAGUUUUUUCGGUGUAGGAUGAGCUCGCGGCCUAUCAGCUUGUUGGUGGGGUAAUGGCCUACCAAGGCGGCGACGGGUAGCCGGCCUGAGAGGGUGGACAGCCACAUUGGGACUGAGAUACGGCUCAGACUCCUACGGGAGGCAGCAGUGGGGAAUAUUGCACAAUGGGCGCAAGCCUGAUGCAGCGACGCCGCGUGGGGGAUGACGGCCUUCGGGUUGUAAACUCCUUUCGCUAGGGACGAAGCUUUUUGUGACGGUACCUAGAUAAGAAGCACCGGCUAACUACGUG